rnacentral:lncRNA from 1 species
UACAUGAAUAAUUAUGACUCUUUAUUUAUAAUUAAGUAACAUAAAUUUUGGUAACAAGAGAUAUAACUCAUCACUAUGAAUAGUUACAACUUUUGAUUAAUAACCAAGUAACAUUUAUUACUUAAAACUUUUCAUUUGCAAUUAUUGGUGUAAUAAGCCCAAUUUGCCCGGGCCCAAAAGCACAAACACAAAUAAACCAAAAAUAAAAUUAUAUAUAUAUAACAGUCCUUUUUUAAAUGUUUAGUAUUACAAAGCCCAGAUCUAACAUAAACCUGAUUCUAAACCCAAUAGCCCAAACCCGAAUUUCUUAAUACCCAACCUAAUCAAGCCCAAUGGCCCAACACCAGAAUGCACAUCAGAAACCCUAGGGCAGCAACGCAGCAUCCAGCGCCGCAACUAACAGUAGCCUCCCACACGUGCGCCUCCACGCUGGACUCCUCCAUACCUGCAACAAACAGAGGCAUACAAAACAACAACAGAGAAUAACAAAGAAAAUAUAGGGGGUUUUCGAUUUUAUUUUUAUUUGCGCACAUAGAGAUAUAAAAAGAAACAAAACAACCAUUGUAAAAAGGGGGGAUAGUGAUUGGAUUUUUGAGUUUUUCUUCUUUCGGCUAUAGAGAAAGCCGUUCUAAAAUCUGUAAAGGGGGAUCCCUUUUUUUUACACAGAGAAGAAAAACAAGAAAGCAAAAAAAAAUAUUCAAGUGAAAAGAGCAGAGUUUCGUAAGGUGGUUUUGGAAUUUCUUUUUUUUUUCUCUUUACUUUUCUUUGUUUUUACUACUCCGUUCAUAAAUAGCACGAAAUAAAAAAGAGAAAAGGAAGAACGCUUACCUGGUGGCCGGACCUUGGCUCACUCCGCAGUCAUCGGAGUUGCAGCGAAGUGUGAUGGCUCUUGGACGACGAUUCGUCGGAACGGCGCGGGGUUGAGAGGGGAAAGCUUAGGUUUUUUUUUAAUGGCAGAAUGGAUUUAGAUUAGGUUUUGUAUUUUUGUGUUUGUUAUAGAAACGGUGCCAUUUAAGAAGUGGGAUCCAAUGAUCCGACCCGAUUCAGGGAAGAGGAUCAGUGCCUCUUUGUUCAAUGGUUUAUUUGCGCGAUGAACCCCUCCGCAUUCUCUUUCGUUUCAAUGCAGUUUUUCUUUGAUUUUUUAAUUUUUACCUUGUAUUUGAUUCCAAUUUUAUUUGGAGCCAUGUUCAAACGUUGUCGUUUUCCCAUAUUUGAUUUUGAAUAUCCAGAUUUAUGCGUUUAAUUGUUGUUUUGACCCCUCAAUAUUUGAAUCAAUUAUCAAAUUAGC